rnacentral:rRNA from 1 species
AUACGGAAGGUCCGGGCGUUAUCCGGAUUUAUUGGGUUUAAAGGGAGCGCAGGCGGAGAUGCAAGCGUGACGUCAAAUUUCGGGGCUCAACCCCGUCUCGCGUCGCGAACUGCGUCCCUUGGUUGCGGGAAGGGGAGGCGGAACUCGUGGUGUAGCGGUGAAAUGCAUAGAUAUCACGAAGAACUCCGAUCGCGAAGGCCGCCUUCCGGCCCGUCAACGACGCUAAUGCUCGAAGGUGCGGGUAUCAAACAGGAUUAGAUACCCUGGUAGUCCGCACAGUAAACGAUAGACACCCGCGGUUUGGCCUGUAUGGCUGAGCCGCCAAGCGAAAGCGUUAAGUGUCCCACCUGGGGAGUACGCCGGCAACGGUGAAACUCAAAUGAAUUGACGG